GAAAAAUGAUUGUUCGUAAGGUGUAUUGCUUUUCAGGCAGCAGCUCUCCUUUCUGUUGGGCUUUUAUAUGAGGGAUCGGCACAUCCCCAAACAAUGCAAAUUCUUCUGGGUGAAAUAGGUCGUAGAAGUGGAGGAGAUAAUGUACUUGAAAGGGAGGGUUAUGCAGUUGCUGCAGGGUUUUCACUGGGAUUGGUCGCGUUGGGUCGUGGAGAAGAUGCUCUUGGUUUCGUGGAUGCUUUGGUUGAUCGGUUGUU